rnacentral:rRNA from 1 species
AACGCGAAGAACCUUACCAGCUCUUGACAUGGGACGUUUGACCUCGAGAGAUCGGGGUCGUCAGUUCGGCUGGCGUCCACACAGGUGCUGCAUGGCUGUCGUCAGCUCGUGUCGUGAGAUGUUGGGUUAAGUCCCGCAACGAGCGCAACCCUCACCUUCAGUUGCCAUCAGGUUAUGCUGGGCACUCUGAAGGAACUGCCGGUGACAAGCCGGAGGAAGGCGGGGAUGACGUCAAGUCCUCAUGGCCUUUAUGGGCUGGGCUACACACGUGCUACAAUGGCGGUGACAGAGGGAAGCAAAGAGGCAACUCUUAGCCAAUCUCAAAAAGCCGUCUCAGUUCGGAUUGUUCUCUGCAACUCGAGAGCAUGAAGCUGGAAUCGCUAGUAAUCGCGGAUCAGCACGCCGCGGUGAAUACGUUCCCGGGCCUUGUACACACCGACAUA